rnacentral:rRNA from 1 species
UGCAGUCGAACGGUGAAAGAGGAGCUUGCUCCUCUGGAUCAGUGGCGAACGGGUGAGUAACACGUGAGUAACCUGCCCUUGACUCUGGGAUAAGCACUGGAAACGGUGUCUAAUACCGGAUACGAGCUUCAGCCGCAUGGCUAGGAGCUGGAAAGAAUUUCGGUCAAGGAUGGACUCGCGGCCUAUCAGCUAGUUGGUGAGGUAAUGGCUCACCAAGGCGACGACGGGUAGCCGGCCUGAGAGGGUGACCGGCCACACUGGGACUGAGACACGGCCCAGACUCCUACGGGAGGCAGCAGUGGGGAAUAUUGCACAAUGGGCGCAAGCCUGAUGCAGCAACGCCGCGUGAGGGACGACGGCCUUCGGGUUGUAAACCUCUUUUAGUAGGGAAGAAGCGAAAGUGACGGUACCUGCAGAAAAAGCACCGGCUAACUACGUGCCAGCAGCCGCGGUAAUACGUAGGGUGCAAGCGUUAUCCGGAAUUAUUGGGCGUAAAGAGCUCGUAGGCGGUUUGUCGCGUCUGCUGUGAAAACUGGAGGCUCAACCUCCAGCCUGCAGUGGGUACGGGCAGACUAGAGUGCGGUAGGGGAGAUUGGAAUUCCUGGUGUAGCGGUGGAAUGCGCAGAUAUCAGGAGGAACACCGAUGGCGAAGGCAGAUCUCUGGGCCGUAACUGACGCUGAGGAGCGAAAGCAUGGGGAGCGAACAGGAUUAGAUACCCUGGUAGUCCAUGCCGUAAACGUUGGGAACUAGAUGUAGGGGCCAUUCCACGGCUUCUGUGUCGCAGCUAACGCAUUAAGUUCCCCGCCUGGGGAGUACGGCCGCAAGGCUAAAACUCAAAGGAAUUGACGGGGGCCCGCACAAGCGGCGGAGCAUGCGGAUUAAUUCGAUGCAACGCGAAGAACCUUACCAAGGCUUGACAUAUACCCGGAAAAGUUCAGAAAUGUUCUCCCCGCAAGGCCGGUAUACAGGUGGUGCAUGGUUGUCGUCAGCUCGUGUCGUGAGAUGUUUGGGUUAAGUCCCGCAACGAGCGCAACCCUCGUUCUAUGUUGCCAGCACGUAAUGGUGGGAACUCAUAGGA